UACAGGGAAUUCAAAAUUGGGAGAUGACGUCCGAUCAUUAUGUUCAAUGGGUUUGAGAAACAACCUGCAUAAUGAUUUUGAUAUGAAAAGCUCUUUGAAAAUCAAACAAGACAAUCGUCAUGCAGAUGAAAAGAUUGCUUUUAUUCUUGUUUUUAAGGUUUUUUGUGAUCACCAAUUUCAUGCAAAAAGCGAAAAGGGAAAACAAAUGGAAAAACAAAUGUUUAACAUGCUUUUAUUUGAAUGAAAAUAUCAUUGC
rnacentral:lncRNA from 1 species